rnacentral:rRNA from 1 species
CAGCCGCCGCGGUAAUACAGAGGGUGCGAGCGUUAAUCGGAUUUACUGGGCGUAAAGCGUGCGUAGGCGACUUCUUAAGUCGGAUGUGAAAUCCCUGAGCUUAACUUAGGAAUUGCAUUCGAUACUGGGAAGCUAGAGUAUGGGAGAGGAUGGUAGAAUUCCAGGUGUAGCGGUGAAAUGCGUAGAGAUCUGGAGGAAUACCGAUGGCGAAGGCAGCCAUCUGGCCUAAUACUGACGCUGAGGUACGAAAGCAUGGGGAGCAAACAGGAUUAGAUACCCCUGUAGUCCCUGUCUCUUAUAU